rnacentral:lncRNA from 1 species
CUGCGGGGCUGCGGAGGCUGUCAGGGCUGCAAUAUCCUUCUUCUGGGCUGAGACAGCCAACUGUGACCCUCUGCUUGCCCCCUGCCCCCAUUUCAUCAGGCCCACCACUGUACCACCAAAAAGAAAAGCAAUAUGGUUUUCUGCCAGCAUCCCCUUUAUGGCCUACUUUUACAGCAUUUCACUGUCUCCUUUUACAGCCAUGAUAAGUAAGAUCUGAACUGUGUCCAAACACGAGUAUGAAGACAGGCCCUCCUUGGAAGAUAAGAUAGCAGAGAGAAAGUCAGAGAGACAUAAUCAAGGAAGGGCCUGAAAAUGUCCGGCCUUCAUUCACAGAGUCCUGCUAAGAAACCACCUCCCACCUGCUUAUGAAUGGCUGAAUCUGAAGGGAUGCAGCCAGCUUAAUAGCUAAUAUUAUUUACAAAAUAAGAGAGGAAAACAUCCUUUGAUAUGUUUUGUUGAAUGUGCGCACGGUGACUUGUAGGAAGCUCUAGAAGAUGUGAGAGGAGGUGGCACAGGGACUUUGGAGACACGAUGAGGGUGAAUGACCGUCUGGAGGUUGGUUCCCUCUUAUGAUAAAACUCAGCUAUCAAAUGACAGUGCAGCUUUAACAGACAAACUGAAGACCUUGUUGCAUUUGGAGAUAUUAAAACCCAAAUAAAACAGAUAUUUUCCCACCUACUCCCCACCCCCACCCCCCACCAGCAAGUCAUCUUUUUUUUUUUUUUUUUUUUUUUUUUCCAAAGUCGUAAGAGGCACAAACAGGUAGCAAGAAGGCAUGAGUGAAGUGUUCCCCGCCGAGCACGCUCUUUUGGCUUGGUGAGUGGUCUUCCUCCGUUCAGGUGAUGACAGUGGGGCCCCUCCGGCCAGUUCGCUCGUGAAUCUGGGAUAUUUUCAGCGCGAUGGCUAUGAGAGGGCUCAGCACUGCCUGGAAAAGGAAGAAGAAAGUCUGUGAAUAACUCGGGUGAGUCACAGGAGGGCCA